GACGAACGCUGGCGGCGUGCUUAACACAUGCAAGUCGAACGGAAAGGCCUGCUUUCCCUUGUGGAUUGCGGGUACUCGAGUGGCGAACGGGUGAGUAACACGUGAGUGAUCUGCCCCCAACUUGGGUAUAAGCCUGGGAAACUGGGUCUAAUUCCCGAUAGGACUGCAGGGUGGUGCCUGUGGUGGAAAACGAUUUUCUAGUGGUUGGGGAUGAGCUCGCGGCCUAUCAGCUUGUUGGUGGGGUAAUGGCCUACCAAGGCGGCGACGGGUAGCCGGCCUGAGAGGGUGGACGGCCACAUUGGGACUGAGAUACGGCCCAGACCCCUACGGGAGGCAGCAGUGGGGAAUAUUGCACAAUGGGCGGAAGCCUGAUGCAGCGACGCCGCGUGGGGGAUGACGGCCUUCGGGUUGUAAACUCCUUUCGACCGCGAGGAAGCCACCUGGUUGGAAGGGUGGUGACGGUAGUGGUAGAAGAAGCACCGGCUAACUACGUG
rnacentral:rRNA from 1 species